rnacentral:rRNA from 1 species
AAAUGGGGCAUGCUUACCAUGCAGUCGAGCGAUGGAACUACCUUGGUGAAUUGGAUUAGCGGCGGACGGUUGAUUAACACGGGGGGAACCUGCCUCGAAGAUGGGCAUACCCCCUUCAAAGGAUGAUUAAUACCGCAUAAUGUUAUAAUUUCACAAGAAACUUUAACCAAAGGAUUAAUCUGCUUUAAAAUGGCCCCGCGUCCCAUUAUCUACUUGGUAAGGUAUUGGCUUACCAAGGCGACAAUGGUUACCCGACCUGAGAGGGUGAUCCGCCCCGUUGGAACUAACACACGGUCCAGACUCCUACCGGAGGCCACACUGGGGAAUAUUGCGCAAUGGGGGAACACCUGACGCAGCAACACCGCGUGAGUGAUGAAGGUUUUCUGAUCGUAAAACCCUGUUUUCUGGGACGAUAAUGACGGUACCAAAUGAGGAAGCCGCGGCUAACUACGUGCCACCAGCCGCGGUAAUACGUAGGUGCGAAGCGUUGUCCGGAUUUACUGGGCGUAAAGGGUGCGUAGGCGGAUGCUUAAGUGAGAUGUGAAAUACCUAGGCUUAACUUAGGCCUGCUUUUCACACUGGGCAUCUAGAGUACUGGAGAGGGAGACGGAAUUCCUAGUGUGGCGGUGAUAUGCUUAGAGAUUAGAAAGAACACCUGUGGAGAAGGCUGUUUCCUGAACUGUAACUGACGCUGAGGCACUAAACGCGUGGGUAGCAAACAGUAUGAGAUACCCUGGUAGUCACCCCGGAAACUAUGAACACUAGGUGUAGAAGGCUCCAUGUUUCGGGGCCUCACUCACACAUUAACUAUUCCCGCUGGGGAUCACCCUCGCGAGACUAAACUCACAGGUAUUGACGGGGGCCACUCAGCAGCGGCGCAUGUGCUUAUUUCGAAGCGUCUUUAAAUAACUCACGAGACUAGUCCUCCCGUGUAUUCACUCCGUACUGGACGGAAUACUCUUCAGACACUUGCAUCUCGGGAGGUCGCAGUGAUGUCGUCGCCUCGUGUCGUGAAAUGCUCGGGUUAAGUCACGCUACGGAACCCACCCCUGAUGAUACGUCCCAUCGGUUAUUUGAGCACUCUUAUGAGACUGCCCCGUUGAACCGAUCGCAGGUGAGAAUGACGUCAAGUGCGCAAGCCUAGUCAUGACCAUUGGCCAGUGACGUCGAAGGCAGCAGGUCACAUCGGAGCCUACAUCGAAUCCAAGCU